UACGGAAGGCAGCAGUGGGGAAUAUUGCACAAUGGGCGCAAGCCUGAUGCAGCCAUGCCGCGUGUAUGAAGAAGGCCUUCGGGUUGUAAAGUACUUUCAGUCGUGAGGAAGGUGUUAAGGUUAAUAACCUUAGCAAUUGACGUUAGCGACAGAAGAAGCACCGGCUAACUCCGUGCCAGCAGCCGCGGUAAUACGGAGGGUGCGAGCGUUAAUCGGAAUUACUGGGCGUAAAGGGCACGCAGGCGGUUAAUUAAGUUGGAUGUGAAAUCCCCGGGCUUAACCUGGGAAUGGCAUUCAAGACUGGUUAGCUAGAGUCUUGUAGAGGGGGUUAGAAUUCCAUGUGUAGCGGUGAAAUGCGUAGAGAUGUGGAGGAAUACCGGUGGCGAAGGCGGCCCCUGGGACAAAGACUGACGCUCAUGUGCGAAAGCGUGGGGAGCAAACGAGGAUUAGAUACC
rnacentral:rRNA from 1 species